AUGAAAGCCCUUUUCUGGAAUAUAAGAGGUUUUGGCGCUCGGGGGCGCCGGGAUCAAAUUAAAGAUAUUGUCAAGGGUGAUAAUAUUGACUUGAUUGGCUUAGUCGAGACUUUCAAACCCUCCUUCUCCCCCCAUGAGCUCUCUUCUAUUGCGGGGGCCGACCGUUUUGGCUGGAAUUUCCUUCCCUCUUCUGGCCACUCGGGUGGUAUUCUGUUAGGCUCGAAACACGAUGUUUUUGAUUUUGUUACCUUUGGUCAUGGUAUCUUCUGGGCCAGCUCGGUGCUUUUUCACCGUCAGCUCAAUUCACUUUGGGAAUUUAUGGUUGUAUAUGGCCCGGCGGAUCACUCCCUUUCCCCUAUCUUCCUGAACGAAAUCUCGAACAAAGUCGAAGCUUGCACCCUCCCUCUUGUGAUCGGAGGUGAUUUUAAUUUGCUU
rnacentral:rRNA from 1 species